rnacentral:rRNA from 1 species
UACAGAGGUCUCAAGCGUUGUUCGGAUUCAUUGGGCGUAAAGCGUGUGUAGGCGGCUACAUAAGUCGGAUGUGAAAGCCCCGGGCUCAACCCGGGAAGUGCACUCGAUACUGCGUAGCUUGAGUCUCGGAGAGGUUGGUGGAAUUCUCGGUGUAGAGGUGAAAUUCGUAGAUAUCGAGAGGAACACCGGUGGCGAAGGCGGCCAACUGGACGAAGACUGACGCUGAGACACGAAAGCGUGGGGAGCAAACAGG